CUAGGGUGCUCGGGAACCAGAGGCGGCGGCCCCGAGCACCUUCUCCCGAGACUUAGCUUUUUCUUACCUCGCAGGGUGAUGACAUGUGGUGGAUAGCCGGCCUGGCCUCGGGACUUAGGGACCCCUGGUUCUGAAUAUACCGACAAUGAGACUUGAUUAACAUUCAGUAAUUUUAGAGCAGAGCAUGAUUAUUCCUGCCCGCUGAAUUCAUACCUGAGUGAUCUGGUUGCAUACCUGAUAAAAAAGGAAGCCUCUUUUGUAUUAAUCUAGAUUUUGGGGCGAAUAAAUAAAGUUUGUUAGCUGGACUGCAGUCAGAACU